CUACACGCCUCACAACUUGAUUUGAAAGUUAAAACUUGAGGUUUAACAGAGGUCAACUCUUUAUCUUUGUUGUCUAAUUUUGCAUGUGGAAAAACACCUGGAUACUGGAAGUCAAAAGCUAAGUCAUGCUCUGUACCAGGUAUUAUUGAGCUCUGAUAGUUCUGCGUAGCUUUUUGCUGUUGCAAAUGCUGCUAAGAAUGCUCAAGCAAUCAUUGGCAUACCCACACUCUUGGAUGAGUAUGAAAACAUUUUUGAUACAUUGCAACAGAAACCUGGAAGCUUGCUUUAAGGUAUUUUAAUACGAUGACCUGAGCCGCUGAUUGAAAGAGAAUUA